CCCCUUUUGGAGGGAGACUAACCAGGCACCUGACCUCCUGUCGGUCAGUGCCUAAGUUAGUCUCGCAGCCCACCCACAAAUAACAAGUAGCAAAGUAGCCCCCCCGCAAUAAAAAGUACUGGCCUGUAGGUUCCAGGUUGUAGGAUGAAAAUGUAGCAUCCUCUGCCUUCCUGGUGCAGCUGGGCAAAUAGCUGGUGGUACUUGGGGGGCAGAGGCCAGCGGCGCUCUGCCCUGACGCCAGCGCUUCUGCUGGGGUGAGGGGGUUGCAGGCCAGUCCUGCAACAAGGGGGUCGGUAGGGCAGAGGCCAGCGGCGCUCUGUCCUGAUGCCAGCUCUUCCGCUGGGAUAGCUGGCAUAAUGUCACGCUCUGUACAAGGGUCAAAGAGAGGGCAGAGGCCAACUGCACUCUGCCCAGCUGCCAGCUCUUCUGCUGGGGGAAUUGGGGCAUAGUCCUGCCCGGUGGCAAACGGAACGUGGGGGUUGGUGGGGGUCGCCAUCUCCCCUGUUAACCCUGGGCCCAAGUUAGGAGUUGGCUGG